rnacentral:rRNA from 1 species
UGGGGAAUAUUGCACAAUGGGCGCAAGCCUGAUGCAGCCAUGCCGCGUGUAUGAAGAAGGCCUUCGGGUUGUAAAGUACUUUCAGCGGGGAGGAAGGUGGUAAGGUUAAUAACCUUGGCAAUUGACGUUACCGACAGAAGAAGCACCGGCUAACUCCGUGCCAGCAGCCGCGGUAAUACGGAGGGUGCAAGCGUUAAUCGGAAUUACUGGGCGUAAAGCGCACGCAGGCGGUUGAUUAAGUCAGAUGUGAAAUCCCCGGGCUUAACCCGGGAAUUGCAUCUGAUACUGGUCAGCUAGAGUCUUGUAGAGGGGGGUAGAAUUCCAUGUGUAGCGGUGAAAUGCGUAGAGAUGUGGAGGAAUACCGGUGGCGAAGGCGGCCCCCUGGACAAAGACUGACGCUCAGGUGCGAAAGCGUGGGGAGCAAACAGG